CAGCCGCCGCGGUAACACGUAGGUGGCAAGCGUUGUCCGGAAUUAUUGGGCGUAAAGGGUGUGCAGACGGCUUAUUAAGUCACUUGUUAAAUUCUUCGGCCUAACUGAAGGUCUGCAAGUGAUACUGAUGAGCUAGAGGGUGGAAGAGAGAAGUGGAAUUCUCGGAGUAGCGGUAAAAUGCGUAGAUCUCGAGAGGAACACCAAUGGCGAAGGCAGCUUCUUGGUCCAUUCCUGACGUUCAUACACGAAAGCGUGGGGGGCAAACAGGAUUAGAUACCCCGGUAGUCCCUGUCUCUUAUAC
rnacentral:rRNA from 1 species